CAACAACAACAACAACAAUAACAGCAAAGGCCAACCCACCUCCGACAUCUGGAAGCUUUCUCGAGAAAGUGAUGAAAAAUUCGAUUCAUUAUUCACCGAAGAUUCCAAUGACAGCCUUUCUGGAAUUACGGAUUCUCCGGCUGCUGAGGAAGAGUCAUGGUUAGAGGAGAAAAGGGGAGAUGAUGGUGGAGAUAUAUUUAACAGAAUUGAGAAGGAUUCUGGGGCGAGGAAUGGCGGUGAUGCUGGCAAUGAGUGGCUCACGUCGGAGGGGUACAAGAUGUGGAGCUUGGAUGAGGGGGAGGAGGAGAAAGAUAAUGUGUUUGACAUUGGA
rnacentral:misc_RNA from 1 species